UACGUAGGGUGCGAGCGUUGUCCGGAAUUAUUGGGCGUAAAGAGCUUGUAGGCGGUCUGUCGCGUCUGCUGUGAAAAUCCGGGGCUCAACCCCGGACUUGCAGUGGGUACGGGCAGACUAGAGUGUGGUAGGGGAGACUGGAAUUCCUGGUGUAGCGGUGAAAUGCGCAGAUAUCAGGAGGAACACCGAUGGCGAAGGCGGGUUGCUGGGCUGACACUGACGCUGAUGCGCGAAAGCCAGGGGAGCGAACGGG
rnacentral:rRNA from 1 species